rnacentral:rRNA from 1 species
UACGUAGGUGGCAAGCGUUGUCCGGAUUUUUUGGGUUUAAAGGGUGCGUAGGCGGCCCUGUAUGUCAGUGGUGAAAUACUCCAGCUUAACUGGAGGGGUGCCAUUGAUACUGCAGGGCUUGAGUGGAGUCGAAGUAGGCGGAAUUGACGGUGUAGCGGUGAAAUGCUUAGAUAUCGUCAAGAACACCGAUAGUGAAGACAGCUUACUAGGCUUCUACUGACGCUGAGGCACGAAAGUGUGGGGAUCAAACAGG